CCUACGGGUGGCUGCAGUAACGAAUCUUCCGCAAUGCGCGAAAGCGUGACGGGGCAAUGCCGCGUGCAGGACGAAGCCCUUCGGGGUGUAAACUGCUGUCAGGGUUCACCAACACAAUGAGGAGACCCAAAGGAAGCACCGGCUAACUCUGUGCCAGCAGCCGCGGUAAUACAGAGGGUGCGAGCGUUAAUCGGAAUCACUGGGCUUAAAGCGUGCGUAGGCGGAUGUGCAGGCAUGUUGUGAAAUCCCAUGGCUCAACCAUGGAAUUGCUUCGU
rnacentral:rRNA from 1 species